UGGGGAAUAUUGCACAAUGGGCGCAAGCCUGAUGCAGCCAUGCCGCGAGUAUGAAGAAGGCCUUCGGGUUGUAAAGUACUUUCAGCGGGGAGGAAGGGAGUAAAGUUAAUACCUUUGCUCAUUGACGUUACCCGCAGAAGAAGCACCGGCUAACUCCGUGCCAGCAGCCGCGGUAAUACGGAGGGUGCAAGCGUUAAUCGGAAUUACUGGGCGUAAAGCGCACGCAGGCGGUUUGUUAAGUCAGAUGUGAAAUCCCCGGGCUCAACCUGGGAACUGCAUCUGAUACUGGCAAGCUUGAGUCUCGUAGAGGGGGGUAGAAUUCCAGGUGUAGCGGUGAAAUGCGUAGAGAUCUGGAGGAAUACCGGUGGCGAAGGCGGCCCCCUGGACGAAGACUGACGCUCAGGUGCGAAAGCGUGGGGAGCAAACAGG
rnacentral:rRNA from 1 species